GUCAAUAUGUCCGAGUGGUUAAGGAGAUAGACUCGAAAUCUUGGGCUUUGCCUGCGCAGGUUCAAAUCCUGCUGUUGACG
rnacentral:tRNA from 1 species